rnacentral:rRNA from 1 species
CUGGCGGCGUGCUUAACACAUGCAAGUCGAACGGGGUGUUUAUUUCGGUAAACACCGAAGUGGCGAACGGGUGAGUAACGCGUAAGCAAUCUACCUUCAAGAUGGGACAACACUUCGAAAGGGGUGCUAAUACCGAAUGAAUGUAAGAGUAUCGCAUGAGACACUUACUAAAGGAGGCCUCUGAAAAUGCUUCCGCUUGAAGAUGAGCUUGCGUCUGAUUAGCUAGUUGGUGAGGGUAAAGGCCCACCAAGGCGACGAUCAGUAGCCGGUCUGAGAGGAUGAACGGCCACAUUGGGACUGAGACACGGCCCAGACUCCUACGGGAGGCAGCAGUGGGGAAUCUUCCGCAAUGGGCGAAAGCCUGACGGAGCAACGCCGCGUGAACGAUGAAGGUCUUAGGAUCGUAAAGUUCUGUUGUUAGGGACGAAGGGUAAGAAUCAUAAUAAGGUUUUUAUUUGACGGUACCUAACGAGGAAGCCACGGCUAACUACGUG